rnacentral:rRNA from 1 species
UACGUAGGGGGCAAGCGUUGUCCGGAAUUACUGGGCGUAAAGCGCGCGCAGGCGGUCCUCCAAGUCAGUUGUGAAAGCCCGGAGCUCAACUCCGGAACUGCCAUUGAAACUGUGGGACUUGAGUACGGGAGAGGUGAGUGGAAUUCCCAGUGUAGAGGUGAAAUUCGUAGAUAUUGGGAAGAACACCGGUGGCGAAGGCGGCUCACUGGCCCGUAACUGACGCUCAUGCACGACAGCGUGGGGAUCAAACAGG